rnacentral:pre_miRNA from 1 species
AUCACCUGGGGAUCUUGUUAAAAUGCAGAUUCUGUUUCAGUCGGUCUGAGGAUGGGGAGCCUGAGAUUUGGCAUUUCUAACAAGCUUCAGGUGAUGCUGA